AAAUUACUGUAUGUUACAUACGUAGGAUUAUUUUAACUAAAAGUGGAAUUGGAAAAGUGAGAUUGUGACAGAUUUCCAAUGUGGGGUCAGCAAGUUCAGAGGUUAAGUGACUUUACAGAGGAGCUUCUGUCACACCGUCUUUUACCAUGACAAGAUCAGGUGCCUUAAAACUUUGCAUCCUCUUCUUUCUCACCUUCAUCCUGUGUCUACCAGAGUUUUUUCCAAAAAUAUCACAAAUUGAGUUUCUCUGUGAGCCCUUUGACCCUUGCACACCUGAGAAUGAUACACAGGUGUGUGCUCCAUAUGACCCUCCCUGUGUGAUAGAAAUGAUAAAUGCCAGCAGCCAACACACACGUUCUGAAGGCUGGUAUCUGUGUAAAACUGAAAUGGAUCUGCAGCUUCUCCAGAACAAUACCUCACCGUCAGAAGAGCAUGUGAUGGUGCUACUGACAAUGAAGGCAGGCAAUCACUCUGGAUGGAACAUUAGUGAAUUUAUGUUUCUCAACAACACUGAUCUAUACACUGCUGGACCCCAAAAUGACCAGAGACUGUUUUAUUGCAACCUCCCACCAGACAACAGCAAAUGUCCAGAUCUGAACAUAUCCAUGCAAGAAAAAAACACCAGCCCUCCAAUACAAGACCCCUCCAUUUUAAAAACCAAUACUUCUGUGAACCCAACUGCCUUUUCACUCAAAACAACUACACUGUCUUUCCAAGAAACACCUUCUACAGAUGAGCUGAAGUGUCAACCAACCAGCAGCAGUUUCCUCUUUUACUACCAGAUGAACAAUGAAACAGCAAGAUCUGCCGCAUUACCAGUAACCCAAACAAGAAAAGAUGGCUGGUGGUGUGUGAUUACUUCGGUGUGGUUGGCUCUGGUACUGACUGUGAUUGUGGUAACCCUAUUGAGUGUGGGAAACAUGAUCUUUAAGAGCAGAAAACGUGAGUAUCACUUCUACUAAACAAGUCUAGUCAGGCCCAACAGACAUUUUCAUCUUGAAAUCCAUAAUUACAGUAUAACUGAGAAUGCUGUGUGGAUCUCAUUUUGGUCUUCUUGCUUUAGGAAAGUCCGGUUUGGUUGCAUCUGUGCCGGUUUCAGCCCGUGGACGUCAGCUCAAAGAGCUCAGUAAACAAAAAGAAAUUGUGAGUGACACUGACAAGUAUAGAGCUGCAAAAAUUUUCUAUAAGUGUGCUAAUCAAUUCUCUCAUUUUUACUUUCAGUAAUGAGUGCUGUCCCUACUGUGUCCAUAGCAAUGUGCUGCUUAAGUGGUAAGCAAGUGUCCUUGUUAAAGCAAUCAGAAUUCAUUUAUGUAAAUAAAUCAAUUACAAAAAUGUACCAUAUCAGGUACAAUGAUACCAUGGCACUGGGUGAUUGCCACAUUCAUAAUAAUAUAAAUAUGAUAUUUAAAUGGUCCUCCAAGGAUCUUCAAAGACUCAGUCAAGUCAAGUUACUUUUAUUUGGCGCUUUACAAAGCAGCCAUGAUAUACCAUGGUAUUACUAUGGAGUGUGACCCCAAAACUAUGGUAAUACCAUGUUACAAAAAAAAAUAAGAACUGGAUAAUAUUUUUACAAGGCUCUAUUCAUGUAGAGAAUUCUAAUAACAAGGGUUGGUGGGUCAUAUUUUUAUAUUGUUAUAUAGUUAUUAAAGGUUGAUAGAUCUCCGUUUCCUUCAUCUCUACAGAUGGGGAUGUAUUCUAUGAGAAACCGUCAAUGGGGAACAGAACAGAAGGUAAACAAACAACCUGUUCUAUCAUACUGCACACUUUUUACCCUGAAGAAAUCUGUGCUUUAUCAAAAUGCAACCCUUACAUCUUUACCUGGCACUGAGUUUUCUUACUCGAAUAGAAAUUCUCCAGACCACUAACUUUCAAUCUACACUUUCUCAGAAAACCUUCUGAAGGUAGCUGACCUUACAUACAAGAGAAGUAAGUUAUUGGAUAUUUUUUUAUACAGUGUGACAGAGUACAGUAAUUAAACGGGAAGUGUCUGUAAUGGUGGCAGACUCCCGAAAAGCAACUCAACCUAAAACAAUUUUGGGCGCCAGGCAAACAGAUUGAAAACUCUGUCAUCAUUUACUCACCUCAUGCUGUUCCAACCAGUUUGACUUCCUUCUGUGGGAUAUAAAUAAAGAAUUUUUUGCAAAUGUUCAUGCCACUUCAUCUCUAUAUAAUGAAAGUGGAUGGGGUUCAGAGAAUGGCAAGCUUUAAAAGAGACAUAAAAGCACGUACAGUUUGUGACUCUUCUGGAGCCAUAUGAUAGCUUUGUGUACCAUUUUAUGUGGUGUAGUCACUGUUCACUUUUAUUAAAUGGAAUAGCAGACAUUCAGCAAUGAAUAAUAUUUUUUAUUCCCUGGAAGAAGAAAGUGGAUGGGGUUCAGAGAAUGGCAAGCUUUAAAAGAGACAUAAAAGCACGUACAGUUUGUGACUCUUCUGGAGCCAUAUGAUAGCUUUGUGUACCAUUUUAUGUGGUGUAGUCACUGUUCACUUUUAUUAAAUGGAAUAGCAGACAUUCAGCAAUGAAUAAUAUUUUUUUAUUCCCUGGAAGAAGUUUUCAAUUGUAGUUUAACUAUUACGCACCCACUUUCUCAUACCAUCAAAAACAGUAUGUGUGUGUACUGUGUAGGUCAUUGCAUCCAGUAUAUACUGGAUAAGAUUGUAUCUGGUUUCCUAUACAGCAUAUUUAUAUAUUCCCUUAGGCCUAUAUAUUCAUUAUGUGUGUGUGUAAUUUUUUUUAAUUGUCUCUAAUGUUUUAGGUUUGUCACCAGUCUAUGAGAUCAUAGGUAUGAAUGGGGCACACAACACAUUUAUAUAUUCUUUCAAUAAAAAACACAAUAGGGCCUACUUUCAGAUGACUAGCAUUGAAUAAACAUAUUCCAAUAGACACAAAUGACCAAUCAUAAU
rnacentral:lncRNA from 1 species